GGGGUCGUAAUGGAUUUGACAGCGAUAUCAAAAAUUAAGUGUAAGCAUGUCGAGAUUUGUGGUGAAUCUCGUAAAUAUAUUGCUACAAAAUAUAAUUGACAAUACGUCAUACAGACUUGCUGCUUAAUUAAUGGAAUGUUAACUAAGCUUAAUCUAGUGGAAUAAUAGUACACAGACAAGUUCCCUUUCUCUACUCUAUUCUUGUUAGUUUAGGACUAAAAGGGAUCAUUCAAACAAGAUAAGGUCAUCGACACUUCUAAGGUGUCCUGAAGUUAAGAAGUUAAGCAUAUUUUUUGGGUGUCUAUGUCCUAGAAUAUGUCGAAAACUAAUCAAUGACUAAGCAUGUAGAAUCCUUAAUUAUUGGUCGUUUGGACGAGGGUUCGAAUCCCUCCGACUCCACCA
rnacentral:tmRNA from 1 species